AGGGGUUGGGUGUCUUGCUCAGGGACACUUGAACAUGGGACAUGGAGCAGCCGGGUCUCGAACCACCAACCUUGUGGUUCCCGGCGCACCCUCUCUACCCCCACGUCACAAUACAGAAAGGCAGGUUGAUUUUGUUGUUGUGAAGAAGCUCGGUUUGCAUGAUUAUAAAUUAAUGAUUUGAAUAAUAAAUCAUCUUUGGAGGAAAUGUCCCUCCUGAGCUACUGUAGGUUCAGGCAGGUCUUGGUACCUCCUACUUCCUGGUUCAUCCAUUAUACAGGGUAUAAAAGCUGCACAUGAUGAAGCUGCUGUCACCACGCUUGUCCCUUUCUGUGUUGGAGUCUGGCUGAAGAAUCCAAUGAGCUGGGGUGUUUGAGGCUGUCUGCAGAGUAGCAUCCCAGAUGGUGGGUCUGGUGACUGGGCCUUUCAUCUGCUCAUCCCAUUGUCUGUUGUGUUUGUCUGCAUUUUCUUUUAACAUCUCAUGCCUUGAUUUUAUAUUGUUUUUGUGGAGAAACCAAGUCUGUGAGCGCCCUGUGCCAGAGCCUGUCCCUGUUCUCACCCCGGUGCGGCCUAGUCAUCAGUAGCACUCAAUUUGUUUGUAGAGGUGCAUUUGGUUAUUUCUACAGCUGAUGGAAAUUAGUUUCAUUGUUUUGUAUGCUUACUAUAUUUUAACUAAAUGUUAACCUUGGGGAAUCCUUUUGCCUCAGUCUGACUUCAGUCACCUGUUUAUCUGUGGUUGUUGGAUAAUUUAUGAGAAUGUUUAGCCCUGUGCUACCGGUGGUUACAAAUGUUUUUCUUCCAGUUGCUCAUCUUCUCAUGAUUUGAUCUACACACUAUGCAUCAGCUAAAACUAAUGCAUUCUAAUACAACAGCCCUCCAACUAUUUCUCCCUCCUUCUCUUAGAUCAGGGAAGUCGACAGCCCAUAUAGAAAUUGGCCAAUGCUACCCCUAGAGUGGAUUUACUCGCAUGAUGAACUUUACUUAUUGCUUGUGAUCUCCUCUCAGACUGCUAUGGCUGGUUCCACACCUGCAGAAUCAAGGUGAACAUUGGAAAACUAACACUUCCAAAUGCUUGCCAGAGUCACUAGAUAUCUUCACUGCAAGAUGAAGACAACCUUUAGGUUAAAGGGCAACAUCUGACUUCAUUUCAUGGAUCAAGAUUUUGGCAAUUGCUUAAAUUCUACCACUGCAUUUCAGGGACAAGUAGGAGGCCAAACAGUUGGUUCAAUAUGCGAUGGGCAAGAAACCUGGUGGCGACCGUGGUGCCAUGAAUACAAAAAGGACACCACUGCAAUUGCUGAUUAUGGGCGGUCGACCUCAACUGACCGAACUGUCAAGGUCAAAGGAGGCUCAUGGAUCUUGGAGAAGAUGGGCGAGGCCUGGGUUCUUAAUAAAGGAGUGGUCAAGCGGUUUCAGCCUCCUGUGACAGUGGAAAUUACCAGCCGUCUUGAGUAAACG
ensembl:lncRNA